rnacentral:rRNA from 1 species
ACAGGGAUUGCCCUAGUAACGGCGAGUGAAGCGGCAUCAGCUCAAAUUUGAAAUCUGGCUCUUUCAGGGUCCGAGUUGUAAUUUGCAGAGGGCGCUUUGGCGUUGGCAGCGGUCCAAGUUCCUUGGAACAGGACGUCACAGAGGGUGAGAAUCCCGUACGUGGUCGCUGGCCUUCGCCGUGUAAAGCCCCUUCGACGAGUCGAGUUGUUUGGGAAUGCAGCUCUAAAUGGGAGGUAAAUUUCUUCUAAAGCUAAAUACUGGCCAGAGACCGAUAGCGCACAAGUAGAGUGAUCGAAAGAUGAAAAGCACUUUGGAAAGAGAGUCAAAUAGCACGUGAAAUUGUUGAAAGGGAAGCGCUUGCAGCCAGACUUGCCUGUAGUUGCUCAUCCGGGCUCUUGCCCGGUGCACUCUUCUGCGGGCAGGCCAGCAUCAGUCUAGGCGGUUGGAUAAAGGCCUCUGUCAUGUACCUCCUUUCGGGGAGGCCUUAUAGGGGAGGCGCCAUGCAACCAGCCUGGACUGAGGUCCGCGCAUCUGCUAGGAUGCUGGCGUAAUGGCUGUAAGCGGCCCGUCUUGAAACACGGACCAAGGAGUCUAACAUCUAUGCGAGUGUUUGGGUGUCAAGCCCGAACGCGUAAUGAAAGUGAACGGAGGUGGGAUCCCGUAAGGGUGCACCAUCGACCGAUCCUGAUGUCUUCGGAUGGAUUUGAGUAAGAGCAUGGCUGUUGGGACCCGAAAGAUGGUGAACUAUGCUUGAAUAGGGUGAAGCCAGAGGAAACUCUGGUGGAGGCUCGCAGCGGUUCUGACGUGCAAAUCGAUCGUCAAAUUUGGGCAUAGGGGCGAAAGACUAAUCGAACUAUCUAGUAGCUGGUUCCUGCCGAAGUUUCCCUCAGGAUAGCAGUAACGUAUUCAGUUUUAUGAGGUAAAGCGAAUGAUUAGAGGCCUGGGGGUUGAAACAACCUUCACCUAUUCUCAAACUUUAAAUAUGUAAGAAGUCCUUGUUACUUAAUUGAACGUGGACACUUGAAUGUACCGUUACUAGUGGGCCAUUUUUGGUAAGCAGAACUGGCGAUGCGGGAUGAACCGAACGCGGGGUUAAGGUGCCAGAAUAUACGCUCAUCAGACACCACAAAAGGUGUUAGUUCAUCUAGACAGCAGGACGGUGGCCAUGGAAGUCGGAAUCCGCUAAGGAGUGUGUAACAACUCACCUGCCGAAUGAACUAGCCCUGAAAAUGGAUGGCGCUCAAGCGUAUUACCCAUACCCCGCCGCCGGGGCAAGAUUUAAGCCCCGGCGAGUAGGCAGGCGUGGAGGCUCGUGACGAAGCCUUGG